rnacentral:tRNA from 1 species
GGAGAGGUGGCUGAGUGGCUGAAGGCACCGGUUUGCUAAACCGGCGUACGGGUUAAGGCCUGUACCGCGGGUUCGAAUCCCGCCCUCUCCG